rfam:Peptostreptococcaceae bacterium CCRI-22567 contig-1, whole genome shotgun sequence.
UCUUAUAUAACUCAGUAGGUAGAGCACUGCCUUGGUAAGGCGGAUGUCGCUUGUUUAAAUCUGCUUGUAAAAU